GGACGCUUAGCUCAGUUGGUUAGAGCACCGCGUUUACAUCGCGGGUGUCGGGGGUUCGAGUCCCUCAGCGUCCACCC
rnacentral:tRNA from 1 species